AAAGGGUGCGUAGGCGGCUUGGUAAGUUGAAGGUGAAAUCUCGGAGCUCAACUCCGAAACUGCCUUCAAUACUGCUGAGCUUGAGGAUUGUAGAGGAGAGUGGAAUUCACGGUGUAGCAGUGAAAUGCGUAGAUAUCGUGAGGAAGACCAGUGGCGAAGGCGACUCUCUGGGCAAUUCCUGACGCUGAGGCACGAAGGCUAGGGGAGCAAACGGGAUUAGAUACCCUGGU
rnacentral:rRNA from 1 species